rnacentral:rRNA from 1 species
UACAGAGGGUGCGAGCGUUAAUCGGAAUUACUGGGCGUAAAGCGCGCGUAGGCGGCUUUGCAAGUCGGGUGUGAAAUCCCCAGGCUUAACCUGGGAACUGCAUUCGAGACUGCAUUGCUAGAGUAUGGGAGAGGGAAGUGGAAUUUCCGGUGUAGCGGUGAAAUUCGUAGAUAUUCGGAAGAACACCAGUGGCGAAGGCGACUCACUGGCCCAUUACUGACGCUGAGGCUCGAAAGCGUGGGGAGCAAACAGG